rnacentral:lncRNA from 10 species
GGUGUGGCCAGCACGUCUUGCCAAGACCCCACCACCCCACCCACCCGCAUCUGUGGCCUUCUGGAACCGAGCUGUGGCCUGGGGUUCCAUGGAGCAGGUGGGGCGCGGAGGAACUGAGCUGUGGCCUGGGGUUCCGUGGAGCAGGUUGAGUAUGGAGGAACUGGGGUUCCGUGGAGCAGGUGGGGCGCAGAGGAACCGAGCUGUGGAAUGGGGUUCCGUGGAGCAGGUUGAGUGUGCCGGUCGUGGACGGGUCGUGGGCGGGACUCCCCAGUGUGUCACCACUGAGGCAUCUUCGCCCUCUUACGUGUCUCUGUUUCUCUCUCUAGAAGUCCAACACCUCCGAGAGGACUCAAAACACAGAGUGACCAGCUCCUAUGUGCAUUUCCUGG